GUAGUCAUCCACCACCCAAGAUUCCUGUUCCAGUCCCUCCAUCUCGUUCUACAAAGAGUGAUGAGGGUUGCCUACAAAAUAAUGACAACUCUGGAAUGGACUCUUUUUCCUUGGAUACAUAUUUGAAACCAAGAACUUGUUACUGCUUGGGUUGUCAUCUUGGCUUGCCUUGUCCAUGGGUUUGUUACAGUCUUAGUUGCUAGUGAAGCUCAUGCAAUAACUCUGGCUGUUGAGGGUUUGUUAGGAGUUGUGUUUAGAGUGGCUGAAUUAACAGAUGAAGCAAUGAAUGUUGGUGAGGUAUUAUAAGUCUGUAAAAAUUAUAGUAUAGCAUUCAUUCAUUACCUGGGCUAAAUACAUGUUAGUUUGGAUUCCAAGUGGGUUAAUGAAA